rnacentral:rRNA from 1 species
CGGGCUACAAUGGUCAGGACAAUGGGUUCCUACCUCGAAAGAGGAUGGUAAUCUCCGAAACCUGGUCGUAAUUCGGAUUGAGGGUUGAAACUCACCCUCAUGAAGCUGGAUUCGGUAGUAAUCGCGUCUCAGAAGGGCGCGGUGAAUACCUCCCUGCUCCUUGGACAACGUCCUUAGUCCGGCAAC